rnacentral:rRNA from 1 species
UAAUGGCAGGUACAGAGGGAUGCUACCGGGCGACCGGAUGCGGAUCUCGAAAGCCUGUCCCAGUUCGGACUGGAGUCUGCAACCCGACUCCACGAAGUUGGAUUCGCUAGUAAUCGCGCAUCAGCCAUGGCGCGGUGAAUACGUUCCCGGGCCUUGUACACACCGCCCGUCAAGCCAUGGGAGCCGGGGGCGCCUGAAGUCCGGGACCGCGAGGACCGGCCUAGGGCGAAACUGGUAACUGGGGCUAAGUCGUAACAAGGUAGC